GCAGCCACCAUCGUCAAGCUGUGGGCGGAGUCAUCAGGAAUAGCUUCCUGUCGGCCAAUUAGAGGCUCGGGAAGAAGAUAGGAGGCGGAGCUUCCGGACCAAAUACUCUUCAAGAGGACUCUUACCCAUCCCCAUGUCGAAAAUUUCAGCCCUACAUCUUGCCCCAGAAAUCUGCUAUGAAAACACCAAAAGGGAGGUGCUGCUAAAUUUAGCAGGCCUUAUGUCCCGUGGGAAAAGACCGUCUCUGGCCACAGUGCUGUUUGAUUUACCAAAGAGAAGCUAUCGCUCACCUGUGGCUGAACCUGAGGGAAGUCCGACCUGUGCUCCACCUUCCAAGGAGCGUCCGAGAUGGCCGCGAGCGAGCCGCCCUUCCUGCAGGGCCGUUGACCCUCACAUGCGCCACUUCCAAUUACGGUCGCAGGUGAGAUGGGAGCUGCCACCAAAGUGUCCCUGCAGGCAGGCUGUGUGCAGUCCCCAGAUGCCUGACAGGAGAGAAACACUCCCGCAGACAGUGACAACAGAGCAAGCAUGCCCGGUGAACCGAGAGGAAUCAUGAGCAAAUUGAGAUGUUGCUCCUGGAAGCCGAAAGUGAUGUUUGUCCGACUUGGAGGUGUCUGUCUUGUUCUCGAUCUUUGCAAACUUCCACUCUUAUCGCUUUUCAGGAUGUGUUUCUUCUUUUAGCGUUGGCUGGAUUAUCCUCUGAUUUUAGAUUCUUCUGUAGUUGUCCCCCUACAAUUGAUUUUGUCAUCUCUUUUUUUUCUUCUUCAGUGCAUCUCCGUCUUGGUCAUCCUCUCUCUCUUGCUCUCACUCUGCUUUGGCUCUGAUUCCUCGAUAACUGUGACACUCUUUGCUGUCUGACACGGACUAAUGCACCUACCCCCCUGAUACGCACACACACGUGCACAUCCCACUAAUUCCGUAUAUUGGCUCUUCUAUGUUUAAUAUUUUUAACAAUAACAAAUUACAACAUGGGAUGCAAAUAAUGACAACCUAUAAUUCAUAUUGUAAGCGUUAAGGGAACAUUAAGCAUUAUUUUAUUCACUGUAUAAAUGUUAAAUUCCUUGGACGAUUAAUGGAUCACUGGAAUUUUACCCUGACAAAUAAACAAAUUCAAUAUUG